rnacentral:misc_RNA from 1 species
ACAAAAUGAUGUAAAAACGUGGUUUGCAGUGAAAUACGGAUUGCUUUCCCAGUUUGGGGAAAGAAAACAAGCAUGUCAGACGAAGUGAAAGUAGACGCUAAGGAAGAAAACGGCAGUACUGAAACGGAAUCUAAGCCGAAAGUUGUAGAUGAUGAAAAGCAAGACUUGGGACCACCAAAUGCUCUGGAACAAAAAAUUAUUCGACAAAUUGAGUACUACUUUGGAGAUACCAAUCUACCGAGGGACAAAUUUCUUCAAGACGAAAUGAAAAUUGAAGACGGCUGGGUUUCAUUAGCAACAAUGACAAAAUUUAACAGACUGAAACAACUGACUACAAAUCACAAAAUUAUUGCCACAGCUCUACGAAAAUCAGAUUCUGGACUGGUUCAGAUUAGUAAGGACAGUGUCUUUAUCCGCCGUAAUCCAGAAAUGCCUAUCCCAGAGAACACAGAAGAAAGGAGGAAUGAUUUCAAUGACAGAUCUGCUUAUGUUAAAGGAUUUCCACUAGAUGCAUCACUAGAUACUCUGAUUGCACACUUUGAAAAAUAUGCAAAAAUUGACACUGUAUAUAUGAGAAGAGAUCAGGACAAAAAAUUCAAGUCUUUGUCACAUUUGCAAAUAAAGAAGAUUGUGACAAAUUCUUGGCAGAACCAGAAACUAAAUACGAGGAUGCUGUGCUGAUAAAAAAGUCAAAGUAUGCUAUCUGUUUUGUAAUGUCAUUGGGGAUAAUGAAAAUAUUUGAAAG